rnacentral:misc_RNA from 1 species
AUCAAACAGAAAUUACGUGCCGGUACAGUAAUGUUCCUCGUUUAAAUUCCAAUGGAGUUGUUUUGCCUAAAUUCAAAUGCUCCCCAACAACAAACCCACUCUACAAUAUUCAACAAAACAACUCGACGUGCACGAACGGAAACGAAUUCGCGUUGGUCCCGCUGCAGUGAAUUGAGGAUCGUUAACUCACCAUGCAUUUGCCUCCGACACAGACGUCGUUCUUCUCGAUCUCGCAUGGCGUCCCGUCGAUCACCAUCUGUUUGUGCCUGUAGAAGAAACGCUCGCCGCGCGGCAUGCAAUUCAAUUCGCACUUGUUCGGCCCGCCGGUGUACGGAAUCCAACUGCGAACGAUUUUGCGCGAUUAGUCUCGCUGUGGGCCGUUUUAUGGCGCGGAAAUCUGGCGUUCGUCAUCGAUCUUCUCGAUAACUAGCUGUUCUCCCUUCUGAGGGUGCUAACAGCUUUUUGGGCCACGAUUAGGUACUGAGUUUUCACUUCUUUUGUUUUAUUUUUAUUUU